GAGAAGGUUUUGAUAGAUCCUUCGGGUGACAUUAGAACUGGAAAGUGGCGAACGGGUGAGUAACGCGUGGGUAACCUGCCCUAUGGAAAGGAAUAGCCUCGGGAAACUGGGAGUAAAGCCUUAUAUUAUGGUUUUGUCGCAUGGCAAGAUCAUGAAAACUCCGGUGCCAUAGGAUGGACCCGCGUCCCAUUAGCUAGUUGGUGAGAUAACAGCCCACCAAGGCGACGAUGGGUAACCGGUCUGAGAGGGCGAACGGUCACACUGGAACUGAGACACGGUCCAGACUCCUACGGGAGGCAGCAGUGGGGAAUAUUGCGCAAUGGGGGCAACCCUGACGCAGCAAUACCGCGUGAGUGAAGAAGGUUUUCGGAUCGUAAAGCUCUGUUAUUGGGGAAGAAGAAUGACGGUACCCAAUGAGGAAGUCCCGGCUAACUACGUGCCAGCAGCCGCGGUAAUACGUAGGGGACAAGCGUUGUCCGGAAUGACUGGGCGUAAAGGGCGCGUAGGCGGUCUAUUAAGUCUGAUGUGAAAGGUACCGGCUCAACCGGUGAAGUGCAUUGGAAACUGGUAGACUUGAGUAUUGGAGAGGCAAGUGGAAUUCCUAGUGUAGCGGUGAAAUGCGUAGAUAUUAGGAGGAACACCAGUGGCGAAGGCGGCUUGCUGGACAAAUACUGAACGCUGAGGUGCGAAAGCGUGGGGAGCGAACAGG
rnacentral:rRNA from 1 species